rnacentral:rRNA from 1 species
AUUGAACGCUGGCGGCAGGCCUAACACAUGCAAGUCGAGCGGAUGAAGGGAGCUUGCUCCUGGAUUCAGCGGCGGACGGGUGAGUAAUGCCUAGGAAUCUGCCUGGUAGUGGGGGAUAACGUCCGGAAACGGGCGCUAAUACCGCAUACGUCCUGAGGGAGAAAGUGGGGGAUCUUCGGACCUCACGCUAUCAGAUGAGCCUAGGUCGGGUUAGCUGGUUGGUGGGGUAAAGGCCUACCAAGGCGACGAUCCGUAACUGGUCUGGGAGGAUGAUCAGACACAGUGGAACAGAGACACGGGCCACACUGCUACGGGAGGCCGCAGUGGGGAAUUUUGGACAACGGGAGAAAGCCUGAUCCAGCCAUGCCGCGUGUGAAGAAGGUCUUCGGAUUGUAAAGCACUUUAAGUUGGGAGGAAGGGCAGUAAGUUAAUACCUUGCUGUUUUGACGUUACCAACAGAAUAAGCACCGGCUAACUUCGUG